GACGAACGCUGGCGGCGUGCUUAACACAUGCAAGUCGAGCGGUAAGGCCCUUUCGGGGGUACACGAGCGGCGAACGGGUGAGUAACACGUGGGUGACCUGCCCUCAGCUCUGGGAGUAAGCCUGGGAAACCGGGUCUAAUACCGGAUAUGACUCCAUGACGCAUGUUGUGGGGUGGAAAGCCUUGUGCGGCUGAGGAUGGGCCCGCGGCCUAUCAGCUUGUUGGUGGGGUGAUGGCCUACCAAGGCGACGACGGGUAGCCGGCCUGAGAGGGCGACCGGCCACACUGGGACUGAGACA
rnacentral:rRNA from 1 species